rnacentral:rRNA from 1 species
GAUGAACGCUGGCGGCGUGCCUAAUACAUGCAAGUCGAGCGAACAGACGAGGAGCUUGCUCCUCUGACGUUAGCGGCGGACGGGUGAGUAACACGUGGAUACCCUACCUAUAAGACUGGGAUAACUUCGGGAAACCGGCGCUAAUACCGGAUAACAUGUUGAACCGCAUGGUUCAACAGUGAAAGACGGUCUUGCUGUCACUUAUAGAUGGAUCCGCGCCGCAUUAGCUAGUUGGUAAGGUAACGGCUUACCAAGGCAACGAUGCGUAGCCGACCUGAGAGGGUGAUCGGCCACACUGGAACUGAGACACGGUCCAGACUCCUACGGGAGGCAGCAGUAGGGAAUCUUCCGCAAUGGGCGAAAGCCUGACGGAGCAACGCCGCGUGAGUGAAGAAGGUCUUCGGAUCGUAAAACUCUGUUAUUAGGGAAGAACAAAUGUGUAAGUAACUAUGCACGUCUUGACGGUACCUAAUCAGAAAGCCACGGCUAACUACGUG